AGUGGGGGCCAUCGGUAGGAGGUGUCCCCGGGCCUUUGAAGACCCCCGCUCUGCUUUCUGCCCCGGGACCCCCAGGAAGACGCCUGCCUGCCUGGGUUUCAUUGCUGGAGUGUCUCAGAGAAAGGCAGGGUGGGGGCUGGACGUCUAGGGGUCGUUCAGCGCGAGAGCAAACUGUGCUCUUUGCCUUUUGCACAAACCACCCUCCUCCCCUUCGUAAAUGCUGAUCCCAUUCCUGACCCUCCUGAGGGGAGACUGGCUUCUUCUGACUCCAGGUCUAAUGACCCUUCAACCCCAAUGUCAGUAGCAAGACGACCGUCUCAGGAUCCCUUGCCUGGCAGCUUUCCUGGCGCAAAUCCUGGAGCAAGACGCGGCGGGUCUAUGCCCGAGCAACUCCGUGGCCCAAGCUUGCCUUCCGCUGCACCCGUCCAGAGCACCUUCUGCCUCCGUGAAAGGGCUUCCCUCCGAAGCACCUGCUCUGCAUGGUCUCGGUGCCCCACCCCUGCCACUGUUCCCGGAUUGCUGCUGUCUUGUCCCUUCCUUGUCCCCAGGGUGACCGCACCUCCCCCUGUGGGUUCCGGGCCACCCUAGGCUGUCCCACUGUGAGCGGUCUACUUCAGAAGGGCUCCCUGCUCUGCACAGGCUGUUCUCUCUCUCUCCCCCUGGACAGCUUUGUCCCCUGCUCUUGGACGGCAGGGUGUCCAUGGAGCAAUUCUCUCUCAUUCCCUUUGAAUGCCCUUAGUGCCUAGCCCAGCUCUGUCCCUGCAGGCUGCCCCUGGCUUUCUGGGGCUUUCCCCACCUCUCCAGUGAGGCGCCCUCUGGGCAACAUCUAGGCCCAGAGCAGGGAGCAGCCCUCCGAGUGGUCAUGCCGUCCAGCCCUGGCCGUGCUCCCUCCAGCGCUCAGGACCUAGGUCUCUGGAGAGAGUGGGUCCUGAGCCCAAGACCAAGAGUCCCUCACCAUUCUGACCGAGCCGGCCGGCGUCCCCCGCUGGGGUCCACAAGCAGCCUUACCGAGGUGUCAGCGCGCCAGGAAGCUCGCACUUGUGCAGGACACGAUCUCACAAGUCUGGAUGCCUCCAUACACUCUUGAAACCAUCACCCCAGGCAAGAUGGGGGGCACAUCCAACACCUCAGAGGUUUCCUCCUGCCCCUCCCAUCCUGGGAAACCACCGAUCUUUCAUCACUGCAGAUUUCUGUAAUUUUAUGUAAAUAAAACCAUAUAACAUGUA